rnacentral:piRNA from 1 species
GGCGUUUUCAAUUGUGUAAAC